AGUUGGAUAGCUGGGUCAAAUGGUGGUUUCAUUCCUAGUUUUCCAGGGAAUCUCCAUACUGCUUUCCAAUGCUGCACCAUUUUGCAGUCCCACCAGCAAU
rnacentral:pre_miRNA from 1 species